GACGAACGCUGGCGGCGUGCUUAACACAUGCAAGUCGAACGGUGAAGCGCCUUCCUUUUGGGGUGCUGGGGUGGCGAAGGGAACGGGAGCGUGACACUAACGUGACCUUCACCCUUCUUUUGGUUAACCGCACGAAAGCUUAUCUCAUACAGGAGAUCCUGCUUCAGCCGCAGGGUGGGAAUGGUUCAGCGGUUGGUUAUGGGCUCGCGGCGGAUCCGCUUGGUGGUGGGGUGGUGGCCUACCAAGGCUGUGACGGGGAGCCGGCCUGAGAGGGUGGACGGUCACACUGGGACUGAGACACGGCCCAGACUCCUACGGGAGGCAGCAGUGGGGAAUAUUGCACAAUGGGCGCAAGCCUGAUGCAGCGACGCCGCGUGAGGGAUGGAGGCCUUCGGGUUGUGAACCUCUUUCGCCAGUGAAGCAGGCCUGCCUCGUUUGUGGGUGGGUUGACGGUAGCUGGAUAAGAAGCGCCGGCUAACUACGUG
rnacentral:rRNA from 1 species